AUUGAACGCUGGCGGCAGGCCUAACACAUGCAAGUCGAACGAGUGGCGGACGUGUGAGUAAUGUCUGGGAAACUGCCCGAUGGAGGGGGAUAACUACUGGAAACGGUAGCUAAUACCGCAUACCAUCGGAUGUGCCCAGAUGGGAGUAGCUAGGAGGUGGGGUAACGCCUCACCUAGGCGACGAUCCCUCGCUGGUCUGAGAGGAUGACCAGCCACCAUGGAACGUAGACACGGUCCAGACUCCUAAGUGAGUCAGCAGUGGGGAAUAGUGCACAAUGGGCGCAAUCCUGAUUCAGCCACGCCGCGUGUAUGAAGAAGGCCUUCGGGUUGUAAAGUACUUUCAGAGAGGAGGCGUUACUCGCAGAAGAAGCACCGGCUAACUCCGUGCCAGCAGCCGCGGUAAUAC
rnacentral:rRNA from 1 species